rnacentral:misc_RNA from 1 species
CCGUUUCAUUUCAAGAUACAGCAAUUAUUGUAUGACGAUUGGUCCAGCAAAUGAUUUGUGGCACGCCUUCUUUCACGAGCUGCAUUUUCGCGCGGCAUUUCAGUUUGGACCGCUUUGAAAGAUGGACGUAGAUUUUCUUGAGGAUGAAUUCAAAAUUGAAGAGAUCGACGACUUGACAUCAUCUCAAGUUUGUGACGAAAUGGAAGCUUUCGACGGAUUGCUUAACAUGAGCGUUACGCAGACGCUUGCAGAGUACGAAACAGGAUUGGAUCAUGCAUGGUGAAUUUAAACAGGAUUGGAACUUUUUGGGUAAAGACGAAAACAUUUCAAAAAAGCCGACCACGUCGCCCAAAGAGUGUACCGAUAACUCGAUUGCGUUGAACACUCCUGCUCCUAAUAUCCCCGAGUGUUCCGUUUUUCCGGAAACAUCUGCAACUGUCCAUAGUGAAGAGGAGCCCAUGAGCAAGAGGCCUAGAUUCCCGUUUGGAGAAUUUAAAAACUGCAACAUUACGUUUCAGUUUUAAAGUAUAAUUAGUAGCCAGAUAGUUUGUUAAACUACACGAAACGUAUAUUUUUCAUAUUUUUGUUGAAUUUUAUGUUGUCUGUGUUAAAAAUUACACAAGGACGUUCAGCAGCUGUUCGGGUGUUUAUGGAGAAGAAUUUCAGUUUAGAGUUGUUAUGAAAUUGAUUAAAGCAUAAGUUUUGUG